rnacentral:rRNA from 1 species
AACGAACGCUGGCGGCAUGUCUAACACAUGCAAGUCGAACGAGACCUUCGGGUCUAGUGGCGCACGGGUGCGUAACGCGUGUGAACCUGCCCUUAGGUUCGGAAUAACUCCCCGAAAGGGGUGCUAAUACCGGAUAAUGUCUUCGGACCAAAGAUUUAUCGCCUUUGGAUGGGCCCGCGUUGGAUUAGCUAGUUGGUAGGGUAAAAGCCUACCAAGGCGACGAUCCAUAGCUGGUCUGAGAGGAUGAGCAGCCACACUGAGACUGGGACACGGCCCAGAUUCUUACGGGAGGCAGCAGUGGAGAAUGUUGGACAGUGGGCGGAGGGCUGAUCCAGCAAUGCCGGGUGAUCGAUGAAAGCCGUGGGGUUGUAAAGCUCUUUUAACCGGGAUGAUAGUGACAGUACCGUGAGAAUAAGCUCCGGCUAACUACGUG